CCUCUCUCUCUCUCGUCCCCGUCCUCCUCCCCCACUCCCCACGAUCUCCCCUUCCCAGCCCCGCCGCCCCAUCUCCCUCGCAGCGCCGCCGCACGACCCACCCUGCCCCGCUGCACUGCCUUAUCUCCCUUGACCCUCCUGCCCCUGCAUCGGCCAGCCACCAGAUCUCCUCGUCACCGUCCUGCCGCCGCCCACCUCCCACCAACUUGUCGCAAACUACCGCCGCCCUACAGAUCCGGCGAGGAUCCGGCGUAUCUCACCUCCACCAGCUCGGCGCUGCCCCCUCCUGGUCCUAUCGAGCCCACCACCGACGACCUCGACUUCCAUCGAGGGCUCUGCCGUCGGGAGAUCCGGGCAUUCCCGCCCCCUGCACCCUGCUUUCCCUCCCCGGCGGCACCCCCACGCAUGCCCCUCCUCCCCCAUGGAUCUUUGUCGCCACCGACGCCCUGCUCCUUCAGGGGCCCGUCCCGGCCAUCCUCGCACGCUUACCUCCGCCUGGAGGAUAACAAGGUAGGUGCGGGGGGUCAGCGAGCGCGUCCACGAGGAGGAGCCACAGGCGCGCGUGGUGGCAGUAGAAUCAUCUGAAGUUCGGUGUGUGUAUCCUAAAUUCUGCCAAUGCAGUGCGGUUCGCCCCGCUCCUCGAUGGGGUUCGGUUGUCUCGAUGCUGCGAUGCGCUGGAGGUCGGCGGCCAACAGCGGCGUGUAGUACAGACAACGGCGGCGUGUAGUUUGUCUUGGAGUUUCGUUGCAUUUUUUGCAGUACCCUGGUCGUGUAGCGUAGACACUAAGCACCCUCGAUGCAGUCCGCGGCGCAUCCUUGCAGCACGGUGUGUGCGUGUGUGCAGUCCCUGGUGUGUUGGUCGCCGGUGGCCGAAGUGCAGUCCGCCUCCUCUUCAGUGCACGCAGUGAGAAAGAGAAGAGAACAUCAAUGUUCAAUUAAAGUUUGUUUUUUUGUUUAUGGGAAAUGCAGAGAGAAAGGAGUAGCAAGUCUUUGCCUAGUGCAGCUCAUCAUUGAUUCUGCUAUGUACUAGGUGGCUGUGUAAAAAUAAUGAAUGGAUAUGUAUGUUUUUAAGCUCA